UACGUAGGGUGCGAGCGUUGUCCGGAAUUAUUGGGCGUAAAGGGCUCGUAGGCGGUCUGUCACGUCGGGAGUGAAAACUCGGGGCUUAACCCCGAGCCUGCUUCCGAUACGGGCAGACUAGAGGUAUGCAGGGGAGAACGGAAUUCCUGGUGUAGCGGUGAAAUGCGCAGAUAUCAGGAGGAACACCGGUGGCGAAGGCGGUUCUCUGGGCAUUACCUGACGCUGAGGAGCGAAAGCGUGGGGAGCAAACAGG
rnacentral:rRNA from 1 species